UUGAUAACUGAACUGAUACCGAUACUGAUUCAAUACAUUACAUGCAAAGCACUCUAUUAGGUGGUUCUGCAGUCUGUGUGUUAUCAUUUUACGCAUUUUGUUUUGCCUUUCUUGCUGGGGUCACUAAGUCACACAAUCUCUUUCAUUGUUUUUGCUUCAAACUUUUGUGGUCUUUCAAGACCUGCAAGUUUUUUUCCUGGGGCUCAACCUAUAGACCAGAGUUCAAGUCCUUGAAAGUCACAGUUUAAAUCAGGGCAGUCACAGACACAGACAUCUCAUCAGGCUGGCACAUAGACAAGCUGAAUCAAUGUUGUCUACACUGAACUGAUGCAGGUCAACGAAAGCCUUCUUGAACUGCAUGGGCUACCACGUGCCCUCGCCCUUGUUCACUUGAGAUAAUGGCCUUAGGGACAAUUAUCAACCUAAUUUCUUUCUACAUCAAUGUAGAUUUGAUGUCCAGUAAUACAUGUGCUGUACCUUUAAUGGCCUUUUAAUGAUGAAGAGUAUCAAAAGCAUUUUAGAUGUGAAACUGCACCAUUAGUUUCCAUUCCAGAAAUCCACUGUCAUUACCGCAGCUGCCUCUCUAAGCCCGACGAGAGCAUCGAGUUGCUGUGCACAUGGCUGUGCAGUUAAUCACCAUCAGUGAGGAGCCGUGUCUGAUGCAGCUCCGGAAGGUGGUUACUGAAGGUGGAGGACAGGGUGUGGUCCAGGAGGGAGCGGAACAGAACAGAGUGAAGGGCCGAGUCGAUUCAGGGCCUGGAGUGUAAAGAUCCCUCAGAACAGGGGUUCUCCCAGCCCUGCUCUUCUCUUCUCUCCUCAUGUCAUAUUGAAAAAAACUACGGGUUCUUGGUAAUUCUCCAUUCUCCCCCAUCCCAUUUAUGAAGAUCCGGCAGGGGCAGGGGAGUGUGUGGGGCAGAGGAUGCAGGGUGCCCAGCUGAGUGAAUGUGAAUAGGCAGAAUUUGGGGGAGAGGGCAUGGAGAGAAGGAUCUAAGGGAGAGUGAUUCUUCCCAGGGAAGGGCGGUGUUCCGAAGGAAUUCAUAGUGAGCUGUUUAUUCUUUUGAAUCCCUAUCCUCAAGAUCCAUUGUCUGCUGUUCCCUGUGCCCCGGGAGGCUGACCACUGGGGACCUCAUCACCCAGGCUUUCUUGCCCCGUGGGUUCCAAUGGUCUUUGGCCAUAGGAGGGCACUGGCAGGAGACGUGAGGGUCUAAGGAGCCAGGGGUCAGGGCAUGUCUUCCUCCAUCCCCUUCCUGCAUAGGCAUUGCAGUUCUGGCCCUGGUUGCAUCCCUCCACAACUAUAGCUUCCGUUAGGAAGCUCUUCUUCCAUGGCACCAGCUCCAAUAACAUGUUUUCACUCCUUGCCCUUGGACUAGGGGUGGUAUAAGCUACCUGUUUUUGCUAGCUAGUGGAUACUUCAAAAUCCCAUACAGAUUCCCUUAACCCCAUUCACACCUCUGUAAAUAGUAUGCUCAUUAAAUUCAAAACCCCAGCUGAGUGUGCCAUCUGUUUCCUGCAAGAACCCUGAUUGAUACAAUGGGUGUGUCAGAAAUCAACUCAUGUUUACCCAUCCUGUUUCCUUUUCCUGGACACACAGGAAGACUACAUUUCCCAUUCUCCCUUGCAUUUAGAUUGAGGUUCUGAGACUGGGUUCUGGCCAGUGGGAUGAAGUAUGACUUCCAAGCCUGGCCAUAAAACAUCUUUUGCCAUUGUCCCCACUCUCUUCAUUUUCCAAGGUAACAUUGGAAGUUAUAUAUUUAAGGUUACAAUGUCUCAAGCUAGAAGAAGUUUGGAUCCCUGAGUCACUGCUUGGAGGAGAAUUGCCCAACUGUAUUCAACUACGAUAUGAGUGAGAAAUAGCCUUUAUUGUGUUAUGCCACUGUGAUCCUGAGAGUGGUUUGUUACCACAAUGAGGGUUAAUUACUUUGACUACUUCAGUUGAGGUUUUAAAUGAAGAGGCCACCUAGACCAAAGGAGUGUUCAAGGUAUAAAGAUAAGGAAGCGUAUGAUUUUCUAACUUGAGUGAUACUGCACUGAGAGGUAACAGAGUAUUAGCAUUAUUGCUUUGUGAAAAGAACAGGGAUUUGGCCAUCAGAGAUGAGUUUAAAUCUAGGCUUCACCACUUCUAGUGACGUGAUCUUGGGCUAGUAACUUCACUUUUUUAAGUUUUCCUGUAUGUAGUUUUAAGUUUUCCUUUGCCUUUUUAAGUUUUCCUAUCUGUAGAAUAUCUAUCUCAUAAGGCUCUUUUGUGGAUAGAUGACUUAUGUCUAUAAUAGUUGGUACUCAAUAAAAGUUCCCUCUUUUUCCUCUUUCAGCUGUGAAUUAUAAACUCUGUGCCACUAGUAAUUGGUAAAUAAUUUCAGCUUGUGAGGCAUCUGUUUCUUAAUCUCUAAUGGCAGAGAACAAUUCACAUUACCCUGAGCAUCCCGGUAUGGAAGUAGCUUGAAUAUUGACCAGGAAAAAGGGAUUUCCUUUAGGUCUUGGACUUAGGCAUUAACUCUUUCACUUCUCUGCCCUCCAGGCCCCAUCUUGAAAUUUGCAGGCCACCUAAUGCACGUGUCAAGUCAAGCAAAAUUGAGUCCCAGUGCCAUUUCUUACUUCAUGAAUGAGUUUAGAUCCUGGGACUAACAUGUCUUUUGGGAAAGUAAAGAGAAAGGACUCUCCAUGGAAACUUUUUCAUGAUCAAGAGGGCUUAUUUGUCCAUCCAUCCAUCCAUCCAUCCACAAAUCCAGAAAAUAACCAUUUAGUGCCUAGCAUAUGUGAAAACAUUUCUAGGCCCUGUAGUAGAUACAAAGAUGGAUUAGACACAUCUGCCCUGAACAGCUUACAUUCUUGCCGAAGAGAAGAUAAUUUAACUUCACAAAUAACUGCAAGACAGACCAGGUUGUGGUAAGCAUGGAAGACCACAUACAAAGUGCUAUGGAAUUCAGAGGAAGGGAAACCCCUUCUGGCUGAAGACACCAGGGAGCAUUUGAGUACAUCUUAAAGGGGAUGAAAACUAAGCAACACAACUCUUGCCUCCUUGGUGCUUAGCAUAUGACUGGAGGGAUGAAUCAGUCAAGGGAAGUUGGUCCCUUCUAAACUCUUUCCCUUGAUGGCUCACACAGCACAUGAAGACAGGAGCUUCCUGGAGGAACAUUAUACUCUG